AAGAGCUCAAGCAAUUUGAAGAAUCCAAGCUCGGCGUCAAAGGUCUCGUCGACUCCGGCCUCACCUCCCUCCCACCCCUCUUUGUCCACCCGCCUGAGACUCUCUCCACCCUCAAGCCUGCCCGCCCCAAGCCCGACUCCAUCCCCACCAUCGACCUCUCCUGCCGUGACUCCUUCCGACGGCCCUCCGUCGUCGCAGAAGUGGGGCGUGCAGCUUGCGAGCUUGGCUUCUUCCAGGUGGUCAACUACGGCGUGCUGACGGAGGUCCUGGACCGCACGAUCGCGGCGAUGAAGGCCUUCCAUGAGCAGUCGAUAGAGACGAAGGCAAGGAUCUACCGGAGGGAGAUGGAGACCAGCGUGUCAUUCUUCUCCAACUUCGACUUGUUCCACUCCAAAGCAGCUAGCUGGAGGUCAGCCUUGAACCACUUCAAUUGAUUUCGUACUAUUUCAUGAUUUUGAUGAUAAUUAGUUGUUUAGCAAAUGAGAUGAACCGAUAUAUCAUAUAUGACUGAAAGUAAGACGAUGACAAACGAAAGAAAAUAAUCACUUCAACCAAUGCACAGAAUUAUAAUUAGGGAUGAGUAAGGUUCUAGAAUAGAACCAAGAAUUUGAGAACCAGUGGGAAUCUAUCCGAUUUUAGGUUCCAAGAUAUGCAGGAUAGGUUCUAGGUUCCAAAAAUUAACAACUUGUUUGAACUAGAGUCCAAAUUCUAAGUAGAUAAAACUUGAAAUAAUUUUGUGUUUCUUUUAAUAUAUAUGUCUUUGUGUGAUGGUGCGGUCUAGUCUAAAUUUCCAUUUUAUGGUUGGACUUUUUAUUUUGUCAAUGCUCCAUAUUCUUCAUUUGUUUAAAUAUAAGUUGUAGUCAGUUAAUUUCAAAAACAAAUGGUGGUCAUUAAAAGUGAUGAUUUAUUAUAAAUGUUCAAUUAAUAAUACAGAUGGAACCAAGGGUUGAUCCUAGAACUGACUUUGGAACUUGUGACAAGAUAAAUUUUAGGGUAUGUAACGUAAGUCCCAACUUUUAAAAAUUGAGGAGGUUCUAGGUUCCAACCUAUAUGGAGCCUAAAAGUGCUCACCCAUAAUAAUAAUAAUACAGGGACACACUCCAGAUAAUGUUGGGGCCGAAAUUAGCGGACGUGGAAGAGAUCCCCGAGGUGUGCAGAAACGAGGUGUUGGAGUGGAAUCAACAGGUUCAACGGCUGGGGAGCCUCCUCUUGGGGCUAUUGAGCGAGGGGCUGGGAUUGAGUGCCGACAAGCUACAGGAAUUGGCGUGCUUGGAGACGAGGGUCAUGGUAGGGCAUUACUAUCCAUACUGUCCCCAACUCGAUCUGACAGUCGGCCUGAUGUCCCACACAGACCCAGGAGUGAUCACAUUGGUGCUGCAAGACCAAAUCGGUGGGUUGCAGGUGAAGCAUGGUGACGAGUGGGUGGAUGUGGCGCCCAUCCCAGGGGCUCUUGUUGUGAACAUCGGUGACACCCUUCAGGUGAACUCCUGUCAAAGACUAGGACUUUCUCCAAAGCUCCUGAGUAAGUUAGGUUAACAUUCUACCAUGAAAUGAAAAUCUUAUUAUGUAAAUUUCGAAUUUUCCAGAUCAUGUCCAAUGACAAGUACAAAAGCGUGGACCACCGAGUGUUGGCCAACCCCAACCGAGAGCCACGUGUGUCGAUAGCAGUUCUCUACUACCCAAGCAAUCGCGAGAAUGAGUUCGGACCGUUCCCAGAGCUUGUGUCCUCGGAUAAGCCCGCUGCUUUUCGGCAGUUCACCAUAAGCGAAUACAUGAGGAGAUUCUUUACUAAGGAGUUGGACGGGAAAAGUCUGAUAAACUACUUCAGGGCGUGAUUGAGAGGUCCAUAGGCCAAAAAUGGUGAUAAAAGAAUAAGAUGCAUCCUUAUAAUAAUGAAGGAAAUACUGGAUUCCUCCCUUAAAUUCUACUUAACCUUGUGUUAUUAUUGUUCUUGUAGUGGUUAAUUUGCACUUAUUGUUUAUAUAUUCCUUGUGUGACGGUAACUUUACAUCAAAUAUUUUUUAUAAUUAGAUAAAAACCAUUUCUUAAAUUAUACGAUCUUUUAUAUGAUGACCUUCGAUUAAGGUAAUUUUUUUAUUUUAAGUAAAUAUUAGUAAUGAUAUUUAGCUUUUAGCAUCGUAAAAAAAAAAUUCAUAAAACAAACUUUAAUUGCGCCACUAUCUAAAUUUAUAUCAAUAAUUCUCUUUAGUAUAUUUCCCUCGGUUAAGAUAAAAGCAGUUUCCACUAUCUUUAAUUAUUUAUACUAUUUUACUAGGCAGAGUUUUUUCCUUCAAAUAAUAACGGCAAACCUUAAUCAAACCUUUACACCAUUCUCUAUUAGAAUUAUAGAUCUGUCAUUGUUUAAAGGAUUAAUAUGCAAAAAAAAAAAAAAACCCCAAACUAAUAUACCUCUACCACAUUUACCAAAACUAGUUCUAGAUCUAUCAUUGUUUAAAGGGUGAAUGUGACACGAGAGGACCAUUUUGAGAUAUUUAUCACAAAAAAUUUAAUUUGGGAUAUAUGUGACAAGGGUUUAACAAUUUUGGGUUUUUUGUAUGAUAUUGGCCCUUGUUCAAAAUUAAGGAACUAGAUAAUGUUUGUCGCGAGCUUUCUAUCAAUAGCUAAUUUGCUUGAACCCACCCAUCGAAUCAUAACUUAUCACGACUUUUAGUUUCAACUACCCAAUAAGAAUGUGGUUGGGAAUAUUUUCAAUCUUUGGUUCCUGUGUAUUUUUUGAAAUUAGAAAUCACAAGCUUUCUUAGUAUCAAGAAUCAUACCGAUCAGAAGUCACAUGGACGGAAAUAAAAAUUAAAAUUUCAUGUUGUUGUAAAACAGAAAGAAUCCGACCUCAUAUUUGAUUGCAUAUAAUUCUCUAUAGGGUGACCUUUAACUCUCAAAACUUUCAAACAUAUUUCAACUUGUUUGAAGGUAUCCAACCAUAUGCUAUUAGCCCAAUCUAAUACUUAAUUUGUUUUUAAGGAGUUCAACCAUUAAAGUUAGAAGGCAUUGAUUCAAAUUGAUGUUCAUUGAUUUGUAUUUGUGAAUAGUAUGGAUCAUGAGCCUUUUGCGGAUGCAAGAAUAAUACAAACCAAAUACCAAACCAAAAAAGUUCAUAAGAUUGAAAUUUCAUAGAAUUUUUAGAAGAACUAAUUAUCUUGGAAAAUUAAUAAAACUGUGUCACGUCAUCGUUCACGUAUCGGCAUUGCGUGUCACGUACAAGCAUGGGUAGGUGUACACUAUUCGCAGCUCUCAAAUAUUAGACCUAUCAAUAGCUUCUCAAAUCCUUCUCGUUGUCCGUUCUAUCCCCACCCAUUCUCUAGCCUUCCAAGAAAAGAAAAUGCAAUAGUCUUUUGAUUUCUUUGAAGUGUCGUCGUUACCGUGUCUCCAAGUAAUUCUUCCAAAUUUUAUAUUUGGUAAAUAUGGAGCAAUGAUGCUUAAGACAGUAGUUAUUUUUCCUGAAUUGAUGCUUUCUAAGCUAAAGAAAAAAAAUGCCGGGAUUUUUAUGUUUAGGGAUAUUUGGAACAAAGGAUAAAUUUUUCCAACAUCACCAUUCAUACAUUAUAUAUGUAUGUAUAUAUAAAAGAGGAUGAUUUUAAUGUUUAGGGAUAUUGGAAAGACGAAGAAAUUUAUCAACAUGGAGAUUCAAAACAAGCCUUAAAAUGUUUAAGCCUUUACGACGGUACGUCAAUUUUUUCAUCAUAUUAAUAAGCCAGAAGCAUGACAGACAAGACGCCCCCAACAUUUCCAUUACAAUGAAUGGACAAUCUGCUGCAAUCAUGUGGCAUCGUUUACACCGUGGGCAAGUCAAUUACGUCUUUUGAAGCAAAAAAUAAUUAUUCAUGUAAAAUAAAUAAGACUUCUUAUUUACAUGAGUUAUUUUGUAAAAAAUCCAUCAAUGGAUAAAUGUAUUGAUUAACAGCUUUAUCUCAUCUCUAACGUAUUUCAAUUUAAAAUAGUGAAUUCUUGUAAUCUCAUAAACAACCUAACAAAAAUAUAGUCAUAUUUUCUUUUUUCGGUACAUAUGUGUGUAAUCACUUCAAUUAUGUUGAAAAGUUGGUUCUAUUAACUAAUGAUUUAAAUGUUUCAUGCCAAGAUGAUUUUAUGAACCAAAUAACCACUUCGCCUAGAUAUAGGUUGUUUCUACUUCAAGCUAGGGCCCGAUGUGUGAGGGAAAAAUUGUUAAGAGUUAUCUCACAUCAAUUUUGGAAUGGACUAGUGGUCGGUUUAUAAGUAUAAGAGAAAAUCUCAACUUUUGAAUUAGCUUUUAGAGUGAGAAAGGGCCAAGACCACUCAACAAAAUCAAAAUUAGGUGGUGAGCUUGGGUUAAGAUUUGUAUAAAGGAGGUGAUUGGUUGUCCUAGAGGUCUAAAAUCAACGUCAUCAUUAAAGCCGAAAAAUACCUCGUAAAAACAAUAGUUUUAAAGGCUUGAGGUUCCCCAUCUAAAGGAUAUUGCGUUCUAUAGGCUUUUGUUGACUGAACUUCCUCGUGACCUCUCGUUAGGACAAUCCAAUGUGUAUUGUACCCGUUUACAAGACAUUGUUCCAAAAGGCAAUCAAAAGUAUGCUAUAAAACAUGGUCCAUGUGGUAAUGGCACAUGCAGAAUAUCUAUUCACCAAGGUUCUGACUUGGAAACUAUUUAAUCAUCGAGUUGGUCGCAAAACAAAUAAUUCAAUAUUCCAAUUUGGAAAGUAUUCAAGUAACAAGCCAUCUAUUUGGUAUGCCAAAUUUAAAUCCACUUGCUACUCAUCUAUUUAUGAUUAUAACAAAUUUCUAUAACUUAGUCAAAUUGAGCAUAAAUUGGGAGGUGCCUCUAAUUGUAAAACAAAAACAUGUGUGCCUAACAUAAGAUAAAGAUUAAUUUAUUUGGAGGCACUUUAAAUAUAUAUAUAUAUAUAUAUAUAUAUAUAUAUAUUUCAUUAAGGUAAGGAAUUAUAGUAGGGCCUGAGAAAUGGGCUUUAGUACAUAAAACCUGCCAAAGGGCUUGGGGAGGAGACAAGGCCCUAUUUAGAGGUAAAGUGUUUCUCCUAUAGGUUUUGGCAACCCAAUCCGCCACUCAGUUGGCCUCUCUAAAAUGAUGGGCUACCUAGAUAUUUAAGAAGGAAAGUAACAAAUCCUUGUAUUUCAUGAUAAGAGUCUGAGCUUCCCUAGGGAACUGAUCUAGACUCCUUAAAGCAUUGACCAAGUCUAAGUUGUCAAACUCGAGUAAAAAUGCUUUGUUGAUAUCUAAAUUUUUGCGUAUUCUUGAUUUGCAUAUUAGGAGCAUUUUCAUAAUAAAUAUGUCCACAUAAAUCGCACUCAAGUUGGUCCAGUUAUGAAUUACAAUUAGCCCAAGUGUGUUUCACUUCAAGAGAGGCAAGUCGAAUCCCACACUUAAAAAGUGCAGAUCUUUAGCUAUGGAAAAGAACAGUUAAUCAAAGUGAAAAUCCAUCAUUAUCUCAAAGUGACAUUAGAAAUUCCCAAGUGGAGAAAGACCAUUGUUUAAAAAUAAUCAUAUUUUCGACAGAGUAAGAUCAAGUGAUAACAAUCAAUGGAACGAUUAUAAUAUAAUAGUUCAAUAAUUAGUCGAUAUGAUCUCUUGUCAUAUUUAGAAAAAAUUUAUCUUGUGCAAUCUAGAUGGGUUGACUCGUUAAUUUAUUUUCUAAUUGUUAUGUAAUUCGUUACGGCAUCUUGCCUUGUCUACCUUCAAAAGGAAAAGAGAGGGAGAGCGUUGAGGCCCGGCGUUAUCAUCUCUCCCUUCGGCGUGAAAUCCCUCGUUACGCGAUGGCGGGGUUUGACUUUGACCGAUGAACAAUCACGCUAUGUCCUUCGUUCAUGUCAUUCCUCCUUCCCCCAGUAUCUUUCCUCACACCCACCACCACCACCACCACCACCGCCCUCGCAUACAUCGAUCGAACCAGGAAUCGGAGUCGAGCCAUGGGCGUCACGGACAGCGGUGGACAGGCCUUUGACCGAGCCCAGGAGCUCAAGCAGUUCGAAGAGUCCAAGCUCGGCGUCAAGGGCCUCCUCGACUCCGGCCUCGCCUCCCUCCCUCCCCUCUUCAUCCACCCGACUGAGACCCUCUCCGACCUCAGGCCCGCCCGCCCCCGCCCCAGCUCCAUCCCCACCAUCGACCUCUCUGGCUGCUGCGACUCUGCCCGCCGCCCCGCCGUCGUCGGGGAGGUGGCGCGCGCCGCCCGCGAGCUCGGCUUCUUGCAGGUGGUCAACCACAGCAUGCCCGCGGAGGUCCUGGACCGCACCGUCGCUGCCGUGAAGGCCUUCCACGAGCAGCCGGCGGAGGCAAAGGCGAGGAUCUACCGGAGACAGUCGGACACCGGCGUGUCCUUCUUCUCCAACGUCGACCUGUUCCUCUCCAAAGCGGCGAGCUGGAGGUAAGUAAGCCACGAGCAUGUGCAAUCAAAUUAAUGAAAUUGAUGAAAAUUAGAUUUGUAAAAGCUAGAUCGGCAAACGACACUACUGAACUGAUGUAUCAUAUUAUGUCUGAAAAGAAGGCAGAGACACAUAUUGAUGUGUUGACUGUCGUAUUGACAAAUUAUGCAUCGUACGGUUAGAGAAUUCAUUUUGACCAACGAAAGAAAAAAUCAUUUGAAGAAAAAAGAAUUGGGCAAGCGAAAAGAUCCAGUUCAAUUAAUGUCCGGAAUGAUGAUAUGCAGGGACACGCUCCAAGUAAGGCUGGGGCCAAAAUUAGCGGACGUGGAAAAGAUCCCUGAGGUGUGCAGAAAUGAGGUGUUGGAGUGGAAUCAGCAGGUGGAACGGCUGGGGAGCAUCCUGCUGGGGCUGUUGAGCGAGGGGCUGGGAUUGAGUCCCGGCAAGCUGCAGGAAUUGACAUGUUUGGAUAUGAGGAUGAUGGUGGGGCAUUACUAUCUGUACUGUCCUCAGCCCGACCUGACGAUCGGCUUGACAUCCCACGUAGACCCAGGAGUGAUCACGGUGCUCCUGUAGAACCAGGUCGGUGGGUUGCAGGUGAAGCACGGCGAUGAGUGGGUGGAUGUGACACCAGUCCAAGGUGCUCUCGUUGUGAACAUUGGUGACAUCCUUCAAGUAAACUCCCUUUGAGGACUUCGCAUCUGAGUAAGUUGAAAAGUUACACUACUGUGAAAUACAAGUCAAUUCACGAGCUUUUGAUUUUUCCAGAUCAUGUCCAACGAUGAGUACAAAAGCAUAGACCACCGGGUGUUGGCCAACCCCAGCCAAGAGCCACGUGUGUCGAUAGCAGUUUUCUGCAACCCAAGCAAUCGUGAGAAUGAGUUCGGACCAUUCCCAGAGCUUGUGUCCUCAGAUAAGCCCGCUGCUUUUCAGUAGUUUACCUUAAACGAAUACAUGAGGAGAUUCUUUACUAAGGAGUUGGACGGGAAAAGUUCGGACCAUUCCCAGAGCUUGUGUCCUCAGAUAAGCCCGCUGCUUUUCAGUAGUUUACCUUAAACGAAUACAUGAGGAGAUUCUUUACUAAGGAGUUGGACGGGAAAAGUCUAAUAAAUUACUUCAGAGCAUGAUUGAGAGGUGCAUAGGUCAAAAGAGGUGACAAAAGAAUAAGAUGCUUCCUUGUAAUACUGAAGGAAAUACUGAGUUCUUCCCCUAAACUCUACUAGACCUUGUGUGAUUGUUGUUCUUAUAAUGUUAAUUUGCAUAUAUUCGUUUGCACAUUCUAUGGGUGACAGUAAAUUGUGCGAUGGAUGAAGUUUGCUCGCUAAACUCAUUCCACAGAGACUGAACCAAUCACAGACAUGGGAACUCAACAGCAAGAUUGCACGAGAUGAAUAUUUUACUGUCCACUGGAAAAUAGAAGGCAGUAUCCUGGAAAACCUAUAGAGGCAACGAAACAAAUGAAUUUGAUUCUUGCCAAAUACAUGUACAGGCAUCUAUACUCACGUCUUCCCACUGCCAAACCAUUCAGCCAUUUCUUCAUCGUCCUCAAAGUCUGGUGAUUCGGACUUCCUAUAAAUUCUGGAUGAGCGUGGCUCGUCUGGAUUUGCCUUUUCCUCUGCAGUCAUUCUGCUUCUUUCCAGCAUCUUCAUUUUCCACAUUUCCCUCUUUUCUGUGUCACGAGACACAUCGCUCAUGCCUCCUGCAAUUGGAAAAUCAAGAAUUCCAGAAACCUCUUUCGAUGAGUUUGUUAACUUUGGUUUCUCAGUGACCCCAUUCUCUCCAUCCACAAAUCUCCACCUAUUUGUGACUCGCAUUUGACUAUUUCUCCUCAGAGACCACAUAGAAUUUCUAUCUUCAACGGCUCCAUGACCUUGAUUGUGAUUUCCAGAAUCAUAAUCUCGUUGAGACAAGCCCUUUGAAUUUGAUGCUUUAGGCCUUCUAUAAUCACACUUCAAGCAUACCGUAUUCCUUCUAAAGUUGAUGUAAUUGCACCUACCAAUCACAGAUCCAUAAGGGCAGAACAGCUCAGGAACAACUAUAACUGCUCAAUGUAGGAAUUAACUAAAAUAAUGGAUUAGCAAGAACUCACGAUUCACAUUCCCACUCCCCAGGAUUGAGUAGCCUUUCCGGGGGUUUCUCUUUGCACCGUAAACAUCUAGUAUUCUUUGCAAAAUUUAAGAAAUUGCAUCUGCAAAAUGCAACAGUUUCUAUAAGCAAGGAGCUCUGCUCACCACAAAUCAGUGAACAAGUGAGAAAAGGCAUGAGAAGCAAUCACUUGUCACAUAUCCAGUCUCCUUUCUUUAGCGGAAGAUGAUCUUGGUCUUCCUGCAGUUGAUUCAAUCUUUCCUGAGAAAAAGUAUCGCAUCGCAAGCAUUUGAUGUUCUUAGCAAAGUUUAAGAAGUUGCACCUGCCAUAUGCAGAAUCAUAUCAAAUAUUCGGAGCAAAACUCAAAUUAAUCAAUAGGAUGUUAACAAUUGCAUUACUUGGGGCAAUGCCAAUCUCCUUGUUUCAUUGGAACAUCUUUGUAGCCUUUCUCUUCCGAACUUGAAUGCAAGGAUAAAUCACCAGCUGGGGUGGAUUUCAACGAAUCAGAGCCAAGUACAUCGGUGCCAUACUCUGCCAUUUGCUUUAGCAGUGCUCUGACUGAUUCCUUAACUGUUCUAGUCAGACAUGGUUUAUUCUCCACAGUAUCGCUUAUGGGGUCAAGUCCGUAUGUCAACAAGAUUCGCAUAACAUCAACUGUGCGCCCUCCUUCAUCUUCACACGCCUUCACAAAUGCUCUCUCACAGGUUCCCCUCAAGUUGCAGGAGCUGCAAACCUGGCAAAGCAGCUGUCUGUAAUGAAUAUGACUGACGAAACCAUAUAAUCUAAUGAUUACUGGAAGUCUUUAAGAAGAGGACAUACAUUUCCCUCAUCGAUGCCCACAUGUGCCCUCAAGCGCUUACCAGAGUUCACCACUUUUCUGUCUGUGCUGGGGCAUCCACACUCUGCUAUGACCUGAAUAUGUUUCUUUGACAAAUACCUAUCAGGAAAUGUCUUGUUAAAACCUUCUGACUAUGAGUUAAGCGACCGUUUCUAUUUGCAAAUGAGGAAACCUCCGGUUUCUCAAGUAAAGCUAUGUUGUCGGAUACCUAUUUGGUGAUGAUAUUGCGUUGGACAGUCAUUAGCCACAUUGAAUAGCUAACCUCCAAAUCAGAAUGCAUACCGUCAAAUUGAUUACCAGCUAAAUUCUUGAUAUGUAUUAUUAUCACAUGCCCAAUGUAAUAUGAAUUGCCUCUUUUCAGGUUACGUCAUCGAAAAUCUUCGGCUCCAGGUUCUAGUCAAAUACUUCAUUUCGUGAGCAAGGCAUAGUAACAUAGAAAGGCCUGAUAGUGGAUGGGUAAGCUUGAAACCUAAAGGCGAGUCCUGUGGAUUCUCUUUUCUAGGUAAAGGAGGAUGCACACAAGGCACCAUGUUGUUGCCACUAUGCAGAAAAAGAUGAACUAAGAUGCCAACAAAGGUGCUUUUAACGAUAUUACAUUUAGCUUACUAACAGAAUUCUGGAUAAAAGAAAGCUCGGGAGAAAAUGUCUAGUUUCUAAAAAAUGGUUGCUUGUAUCACUUACAAAACUGAACAAAGAAAAAUAUUUUCAUCAUCCACGAAAAUAUUUAGACAUUUAUUGUUAUCAAUUAUGAAAAUAUUUAGCAUUGACUAAUAAUUUCAAACGAUACAAAUAAUCAUUUCAAAGAAAAUAUUUUCUAAAUCAUUCAUUUUUCGUGAAAAAAAAAAACAAAUUAUAAAUCUAUAGAUAUAUGAUAAUAGGCCAUCACUUCAUAGUUGACGCGACCUGGUGAUAUUAUCCAAAACAACAUGACCAUUCACAAGCUCCUAGGAAAACUAUCUAUUCUCUCUUCUCCAGGUUUUCAAAACGAACAAAGAAAGAAGAAAACUCCUUUCCUUCACACUGUUGUGAUUCUUGGCCUGGUUUGAAGACGGUGGAGUUCCGUUUCCUACAAAUAGCAGGCUCUUGGCCUCAAAGCAAGCGAAAUAUAAAUUGACCAGGAAAGACAGUCAAACGUGACACAGUUAGAUCUCUAAAUGACAAUGUGAUGGUGGGUAUGCAAAAUCUAACAAGAACCUGGAAAAACUCUGAGCUUUCUUGAAGCUCGUAUGAGCAAUCCCUUCCCUACCUACCCACAAAUAUAUACUCCUCAAGAAGGCACAGAGGUCUAUACCUCACCAUCAUUACCAAAGCCCACCGUCUCUGUAAUUAAAUCAAACAGGUAAAGCGCACCAACCAAAGGGUCAUCACAUUCAGUACCUCAUAACGUCGUAUCUGUCGCGGGCGAAAUUCAGGCAUGCGGUUCUAAUGAGAUUCGAAUCUUUCGGACCCAACUCCACAUUCUGGAACGGGUUGCCCUCCGCAUCAAAGUAGCCUCCCUUCAACAGAAGCACCAUCAAAUCCACCCACUCGGGCCACGGAUGCGAUAUCUGAGCCGCCGCCGACUCAGAGUGCCCCGUCCUAUGGAAGUUAUUCUCCAUCCCCGGAGCGAAUCGGGGAAAUGGGUUGAUUGGUUUCGAAGACUCGAUCUCCCCAAGCACAUCGUUGUUGCCAGAGAAGUCGAGCUCGGAGUCGGGGUUCGGGGCAUCGGUGUACUGGCGGGAACGAGCGGAGGUAACGACGAAUCUGAGGUUGGGGAAGUGAUUUUUCAGAUGCCGACGACUUGUUGGGAAGAGCUUGUGCAUUGAGCCUGAGAGGACGCGAGCUUUGGCGGCAGAUGGGCACGGAAGGCUCGCGUUUGGACGUUUGGGAAGUUGACGCAAUGACAGGCUACCCACUCGCAUACUGUGGAAGGAGAAAUCUCGCGCCAAAUUACAUUGCCCAAAGACAUGGGGACAUUUUGGCCCAAAGGAAUAGGUUUACCAGCUAAAGUUAAUCGUAAUUUUGAAGGAUUUCGAUCCAAAUUUGAAAUUACAAAUUAGACAGAUUGCAACCCCACUUUUUCUCCCCACUUCUCUCUCUCUCUUUCUGCCAACGGUACACCAGCGCCACCGUGCCACUGUUGUCCCAAUAUUUUCUUCGGCACGACUGUCGUAUGUAAUAUUUUCUAUAUCGCGCCUCGCCACCCAGGCCUCCCAUCACUAUUGCUUGCCCCCACAAAGCUAAUCUCUCUCUCUCUCUCUCUCUCCCUCUGCCUCAGCCCCAGCCGAGGUUACGAACCCCUGGCGUCACCACCUAGCCUGGAGCGAUGCCAAAUUUGGUGUCGGCUAAGGUCGUUUCUUUCUUCCUCUGCCCCCGUUGAGUAUUAUAGAACAGACAGCUUGAUGGGUCGCAAACUCCCAACCAAAUUAACAACCACCACGGUCACAACCCUCCGGCAUUGUAUAAGGCAUUGGCUAGGUCAGGCCUUGGCUCAGCAAUGUCAGCAGCAUGGCCUGGUUAGACUCGACGCUCAAUGCACAAUUAGAGAGAGAGAGAGAGAUAGCAGCGGGGGCUCGGAGACAGACCGACAACGGUGGGGUCCCUUGCAGCCGGCAGAAGCUCGUCUAGGCGUGCUCGUGGUGUAUGAUACCAGUUGUUCGUGCAUAGUGUAGUGCUAGUGGUGGUCCUGUGUAGACGAGCGAAGGGCAAAAUGACAGUAAGAACAUUCAAACUGGGAGACUUGAGCAGGAAAUUUGACAUUACAAGGAUUCAUCUGCACCAAAAUACUAGCGCGAAGUACCAUCACAUAAUCAAAUGAACCCAGAAAACAAUUCCUAGAAAAAUAAAACUAGAAGCUAUUUUCCUUUUUAUCUGAAAGAAAGGCCGAGGAUGAGGACAACUCUUUAAGUCACGAUUUCGCUUAGCCUUUUGCAGACUGUUUCUUUCGACAGCAGCGACUUUAUUCUUCUCGACAGGUCUCUCAUCACAUCUACGAUGAGCGACUUCUUUUGAAUUCUGAACGUGAUAGCUAGCUUCGUUGUAUCAGGAACACCUUUCUUCAACAUGGAUUCGUCCUCCAUUAUUUUGGUGGGAAAAUGUUCCAAUGCGAUCACGCAGAGAGCAAUGAUGGCACGAAAGGCAGCCACUUCCGUCGCAAUUCAGCAUGGAGCCUCAGCCGAAAUAGAUUUAAGAGUGCUCAAGUCGUGUUUUUGCACCAAUUCACUUUCACUUUCGAGGAGUACCCUCAGAGCUGCCAGCAAGCGGCCCUCUACCAACUCUGGACCUCCUAGAGUUACCUAUAAUUCAAGAAAAAUUGAAAAAGAAACUGCAUAUUGUCAGAAAGGAUCAGAAUCAACAAGCCAAUAUAGAUGCCAACAAGAUCUCACAAAUAGAAGGGUAAGAGAAAUGCAUCUAUAGUCAUGUGGCAUCCCUUGAUUCUCAAAGUUAAGGCAAAUUUGGGCAUGAAUUCUGAAAUGCCGCAAGAGCGGUUUGAUCACUUAAAGUACUCUUCUGGAACAUAAUAAAAAUAUAAUGAUGGAUAAAACCUUGAGAUCUGGAGUGUCUCCAUAUAGAUUUAACUGGGACAAGAUCUCUUGCUGCCAUGGAGCCGGUGAAGAGAAAUUUGGUGACGAAACCCCAGCAGCCAAACUUGCAGCAUCUAGAAGAGCGCCGUCGUACUUAAGUUCGAUAGUGUCAUAUCGAUUUGAAGGUAUAACAAAUCCAUAAUCCAGAAGAAAAAGAUCAUUGCUCAAACAACCAUAAUUAAGAAGCAAAGGAUCGUUUGCUCCGAUUUCUUUCUCGGCAACAACCUGGAGAGAGCUGUGACACAUGAGACCAAGACCGAAUACUAUCAUAACUACAUAACGGCUAGAAAAACUAGGGACCGUAAGUGAACAGAACCUUUUCCCACCACCAAAAAAAAAAAAAAAAUGGAACAGAGAAAGCAAAAUUGACAACAAAAUCAAGAAUAUGCAAACAUGCCUUGACUAGCAUUUCUGGUUGUUCUUCACCUUGCUCCUGGACAAUACGUGCAUUUGGAUCAAAGCUGUGGUUGCACAUAUCUAUAAGAGGAAGCAUCAUAGGCACAUCGCUAUAGGCCCCUGUUACGGACUUCUUUCCAUAUAGCCUAAAGGCCCUAGAUGAGACAGCUGACAUAGCCCAUCCAAGUGAAGAUGCAUUAAUAUUUUGUCCUCCAAAAGGAUGAUCCUUCAUGUUAAAAUCGCUGAUGGCAUUCUUGACUUCCUUCUCAAAAUCAAGAAGAAAUUGGCAUCUCUUGUUUACCUGGCAUGAAAUAAAGGCUUAUCACAUGACUGUUACCGAAGAAGAAACCUUGUGUAAGGCAUCACCAAGGUCACCAAGAACAUACAUAUGCUAUGAGCUCUAAUGCAAGGUCAUGAUGUCCGAAUAACACAACAUCCGAUCAUUUCUCAGAAGAAGCAGCUACCAGUUUCACAGGUAAAAUGCUAAGUUUCUGCCACGUGUACAAACAGAGAACAAUCUUUUAACAGGUCGCAAAAAGAACAGAAUGCUAACUAUCCCUCAGUGUUAUUGCUAUACAACCAAGAAAAUUCAGUAGUGAUCGCAAGGGGGGAACUUGACCAGAUCCCGUUCCAAAGAAGCCUAUGCCUAUCGUCUCUGCAAUCUAGAAGUUGAAAGAUUCGGUGCAGCUAGCAGGAUCCAAAACUUUUUAACUCUGGGUUACUUGUUUCUUUGGUAGCAAGGCAAAAUUUGGCUCGGAUGCCUUCCCUGAGUAUUUGAGAAAUAAUAAAAUGGGGGAAGCGUUUCGUUUCCUCCGGAGCGUUGUCUUUCUGAAGAGAUUCAAAUUGAAAAGAAGGGGGCUAGCCAUUUGAGAGGCGAGACCGACCGUACUUAAGGUGGAUUCCCGUUGGAAAAAUUAAAAAAGAAAAAAAAACGGAGGAAAUGAGGAAAAAGGAAAUUUUCUUGUAAAAUGUUUUGCUCUAAAUUGGGUAUGAUUUUAAAAAAUAAAUAGUAGAUGUGUUAAAUGGGUUGUGCAACCCAUUUAUGGACCCAUUUAAGCAUAAAUGGGUCGUUAAUGGGUCAGGCUUUAAGAAAUAAGGUACCCUGAUGGGUUUUAAAAUAAAAGAACUAAAAUAAAUGGGUCUUAAAUGGGUACCCAUUUAAGACCCAUUUACAAACCCAUUAAAGUCUAAAGAUGGGUUGUGCAACCCAUUUAUUUUUCUUUUCUUUUUUUCUUUUUUUUUCUUUUUUUUUUCUUUCCUCUUCCUCCGGUCGCCAGCACGGCGAUGGCCAGCGACCGGCCAGGCGACCUCGAGGCUCGAGCCUCGCCCGACGCCAGCGAGCCUCGAGCUCGCCGGAUUUGGGGAGGCGGAGGCCUCGCCGACGUCUGGUGAGGCGACGGCCUCGCCGACAUCCGGCGAGGCUCGAGCCUCGCUGAUCUGGCGAGACUCGAGCUCGCCGGAUCUGGUGAGCCUCAAGCUCGCCGGCGUCGGUGAGCCGGGCGAGCUCGAGGCUUGCCUGUGGCCGACCGCCGGCUGUCGUCGUGGCCGACCGCUGGCCGUCAUCGUGGCCGGCUGCCGGCCAAAGAAAAAGAAAAAGAAGAAGAAGAAGAAAGAAAAAAGAAAAGUUAUAUUUAAAAAAUUAAAAUUUUAUUUAAAAAAAUAAUUAAAAUUCGAUUUUUUAAAAUAAUUAUUUUAAAAAUUAUAAAAAUUGUACAUUAAAUUUGUGUUGUAUUAAAUUAUUUUAGCAAUACCAUUUUUUAAAUUUAUAUAUAUAUAUAUAUAUCUAUAUAUAUAUAUAAUAAAUUAAGUUUAAUUAAAUGGGUCGGGUAUGGAUUGGGUAUGGUCGGGUCGGGUAUGGGUCAAAUUUUUUGCAUUGCAAUAAACGAGUCAUAAACGGGUUAAAUGGGUCGAUUUGGGUCGGACCAUUUAUGACCCGACCCACCCGUUUAACGGGUUUAAAUAAUAAAGGGAGGAAAAAGGGAAAAUUUGGUCAUAAUCUUGUGCUUGGAGUCGUAAAUUGUAAAGCUAUUUUAUGACUUGAAAAAUUUCUUUUUAAUCGAUGCCUUAUGUCCAUUUCCAAUAUACUAUACAUGUAAUCUUUAGAUGGAUAAAAAGAAAUUUUAUUUCUUCGGGCAAUGAAUUUGAGUAGUGUGUAAUCAACAUUAAAGAGAGAUUCGACAACUAUGGACAGGCUACUCUGAUGUGGUUUGGCGGAGGUGGCACUAGCUUGUUGUAGUAUGAAGAGUGUGGAAUUACUCCUUAACAUUUUGAUGAUGACUCAUUUGAGUAUCUAAAGCUUGAUUUUGGUUAAUUUAUUGUUAACGCUCAAGAAAGAACAUGCAAUCAAAUCCUAAAUUCAUCGUUGAGGGUCUCCUAUCUAAAAACUCAGAUGUGCCUUCUAAUUGAUUUUUUUUCCAGGUCGGGACAAAUAGGAAAGUCACGUAGGAUUUCCAGCAUGAAAAACCUAUCAAGGGUAAGUUGUCACUAUUAUAAAACUAUAUUUGAGAAAUAAUAAAAAGUGGGAUUACACAAAGGAAUUAUUGCUUUGAGGCCAAUAAAGGAACAUUUGUCACUAUCUUUCUCGGGUUUAUAAGUCGAGAACUUGGAAGAUAAGACAAGAUAGAAUCACCUCCACUCCUUCAAGCAGUAGCUUCUUUGUGGCAUUCCCAUUUUCACUCAAACCGUCCCAAUCAGAAGAGACUUCGAAAGAGAGUUGUAACGUUGGCUUGGGAGAAGCUCGAAAGGCUUAAAAAAAUUUCAAGAGGGUUUUUAAGAGUGAGUGAUCAUCAUGGCAUCGUGACCAAGUCACUCGAUCUUUCGAAAUCGUUUGGCCUUUGAAACACAACGUAUCUCGAAAGUUACUUGACUAAUCAUUUCUGUAUGGGAGCUUUGCUCAUCUCUCUAAUUUCCUUAGCACUUCCGAUGAUUUUUUUACGCAAGCACUUGGACUUUGAUAAUUUUCUUUCACAUAAGAUUCAGCCUUUCGGCUCUUUUUCUUGGUAGGCAUUGGCCUUGCUUUUACCACUUGCUUUUUCAUGCCUCCUAAUUUUGUCGAACUUUUUGCUUUUUGAAUUUUUGGAGCUCUUAUGACUUUCGAGAUACUUUUCACGUUUUCUCGUAAAUGUCAAUUAUAUGUGGUCAAUCCUUAUACCUUUCCCCAGUGAAGGGAGUUGAUCACCGCUCGAGGUUCAGAAAUGAACAAUCGGGCCCAAAUUGGUUAAAGCAACAAGUAUAAGUGUUUGGGUAGAGAAUGAAAUGCUCUUCUUCACCUUGGGAUGAAUCAAGCUCUUAUGAGAAUUCCUCUGAAGCUAUCACCAGAAGAUUGAUUCCAGUAAAAGUAAUAGAAUUUUUCUUAAUCUUUCGUUUUACAACACGACCGUAACCUCCUAUGUUGCCCUAAUUUAGGGUCGUUCUCAAUAGGGGUACUUUGAAGGAUCAUCUUUAUUUGGCCCAAAGGGCUAGCAAGAGAUUAGUACGGUGCUUGGGAUUGAUAAAGGAAACGCCUUUAUCAUUUCGAUUUUUGCGCUCAAUGGGAAUGAAUCAUUCGUCUUAAGAGAAUAUCAUUUUUCACUCAACUCUCAAAAGUGUUUGAAUGAUGUGUUUGGAUAUAGCUUACCUUUCUCCAUCCUAAGCACUUCUUAUUUGGCAUGGUUAACGUCUCCAUUUCACUCUACUGAGAUUGUCUGAGUAGAUUAAUCUCCACAGGAAAAUUUGAUUCAAAAUGAAUAACCCACAAAACAAAAAAACAAUUUUGAAACAAAAAGGAUGUUCAAAAAGUUUGUAGAAACUUUUUUUCUCAAUUAUUCAAUUUUGUGCUUGUUUCUAGAAAAAUGCCAAAGGUUCUUUUUGUAAUAGAAAUUCUCCAUUUUUUUUCAUUAAUUUUGAGAAGAAGGGUACUUACCUGCGGUAUGGUGACUCAGUAACCCUGUAAAGAAUGUAAAAGAAUGUGUUAGUGCAAAAAUCUUUAGGGAUUGAAAUGUUGGAAACUAUGCAUUAUUACCCUUCACUCACUUUUAUCAUUUGGGUGCUAACAUUUCUUGAGUUCACCCUCGUGGAUAUUUGGUAACUCGAUACUGCCCUUCACUUGCAUUUGCCUUUAAGUGUCUGAUGUCUUCCUAUCAAAGGAAAUAAAGAAUCAUGUCAGAGACGCUAUCAAAAUGAGCAAUUGGAAUUGACACCAUUUACCCUUCACAUGUUUCCGUUCUUCAGGUAUGAACUUUGCCUAAAGUGGCUAGAAUUGAUUGAAAAAUGGCUAUGUGGCCCUAAUUUUAUCCAUGAAAAGCACUUCUUUAUUGCAUACAACAAUUUACAAAGUUCAAUUCCUGCUUUUUCAAAUGCUCUUUUCGAAGAGACGUUUAAUUGAUAAAGAACUUGAAAAUUUUAAAUAUGAAUCAUUAAAUGUGUUUUUCAAGAUCUUGCUUUGAAAUGAGAGGGAUUGCUCCUUGUUUCCACAUUUGAUGAUAUUGUUUUUUAGAUGCUUUGCCCCAUUUAUUCCCUGUAAAGAAAAGAUUGGACAUGUUACUUCCACACUCGAUUGAAAAUCAUUUAGGAACUAUAUACAUCCUUUUACACCAAAUGGAUGGUCAAGUCUCAGCAUGCUUUCUUGUUAGAAGGCGAUACUUCUGCAAUCAAGGUGCACCUUUUCCCCCAUUCAUCAUCUGCAAGGAAGAAGAAAUGUGAUAUGUUAUUUCCGUACUCGACACAAUUCAUUUAGGAACGAAAUACUCCCUUUUGUGCUAAAUUGGAUGUCUUGUCAUGUCUUAUUGGAGAGAAAUAUUGCCCUUAUAAGAAUAUUCCUUCGCUUUUGUUGGAAUGGUAUAUGACUUGGCGCCCACGAUGUAUCCUUGACAAUGGAAAAGAAAAUCAUGUCAGAAACGAUAUCAAAAAUUGAUAAUUAGAAUCAAUACAGUUUACUCUUCCUUCGAAUUCGCCUUUUGGAUGCUUGGCAACUCCCUUCAUUUGUCUCAUCAAGCAAAAUGAACGAGAUCGAUAGACUAUUUUGGCACCUAAAGUGUGACAUCCCGAUUUUUCCAAUUCUAUUUUCAAUAAAUUGAGACGGGCAUUUCGUUGGCACACAUAUAGUUCUUUUCCUUGAGUCGGCCACUCAUGUGGAAACUAGUCUAUCGGGUGAAGCUGUUAAGAGUUUCCAAUGCUUCAAACUCGAGAAUUUGACUAGGAAUUGAUCUUUCGACCGAGUUAAUCUGCAAGGGUCAUUACGGCACAAUUAAAAAUCGAUUAGAGAUCAGAGAUAGGUCGACUCGACAGAGGCAUGUGAUCAGGUGUGGGUGAUUCCACCAGAUCGCACAAUUCUUGUUGAUCGGCACUGGACCGACUUUUCUGUCGAUUGGGUACCCUGUGUUCGUAUUUGAAACCUUGAGAUUUCCUCGACAACCGAAAGUCGCAAAUGUUUCAAAGAUGUACAUUGUGGCUUGAGAUGAUCAACCACAGGUCAAAUGCAUGAAAAUUUCUAAAGGCUACCCGGUAGGUUGGGCCGCGCUAGUAUCGUGCCAAAGUGAAAUUUACCGUGAAAUUGAGAUUAAAUUCAGAAAUUGGAAGUCUGGGUGUGUCACAAAUCAUUUUAGGAAUAUUGACAAAUCUUCGGAAGAUUUUUCAUGCAAGCCGAGUUUUUCGGCAAAUUAAUCAAGGUAUGGCUAAUUUGGCUCGAGAAAUUAGUAGGCCCGCUUUUGAUCGCGCUUUUGGGACUUAAGUUGGUUUUAUGGUCAAGUGAUUAUGUGAAUUGAAACGUGGUGACAUUGGAUUAAUUGUAUGGAUUUCAAUUUGGACUCAAUUGGAAGUGGAUUGAUUAUAAUUGAAGAAUUUGAUGUACAAGAAUUGGACCCCGGCGGAAAUUGCAAGUGAACCCAUUGGAAGAGGUUGUGGGAGAUAGUGGAGUGUGAUGUCAUCCUAGGUCAUGGUGGGCCAUUUGGUGGGAUUAAAGAAAAAGAAAGAGAAAAGAAAAAAUGGUCCCAUCUCUCUCUCUCCUCCUUCUCUCUCCUUCCUCUCUCCCUUCCGUUGGCUUCUCCUCCAUCUUCUUUGUGCGAAAGACCAGAAAAAUUGCAGAGGAAGAAGCCGAGGCAGCCCCUCGCCGUCCGCCUCCUUCGCCGCUCGUCGCCGCCGUUUGCACCGUCAAGCUGCUCGCCGUCCGCCCGCACCACCGGCCGCGCCACCGUCGCCCUCUCUCCUCUCUUCUCCGGCUCCGGUUUCUGCUUGAAAACCCAACAGAUCUGAGGAGGUGUCGAAGCUAGCUGUAGCCCAGCCGAAUCGCCGUCGGCCCGUCGCCGAAGCUCGCCGCUACCACCGUCGUCCGCGCGAAGCCCGCGCCCGCGCGCCGCUCCGCCCGCUUUGCCCAGCUCGUCGUCCCGAGCUGCUGUUCAGCUCGCGCAAGAGCUGCCGGAGCUCGUUCGUCGCCGCCGUGCACCGCCGUUCGUCGCCACCAGCCACCGCCGUAGCUCCUCCGCCCACUCCCGACCCCAACCAGCCCCGGAUCUGCUCAUUUUCGGCCCCAACCAGCAGCGAGCAGAGAGUUGGAAAAUGGGUAUGCAGCGGACGUUUGGCUCGUUUUGGCCGCCUUCCCGAGCCCGGAUGCUCGGCCCGCUUUGAGGAAAGUCGAUCCUCGCGUCGUGCUCGUCGUUUUGGUCCGCUCGGCUCGCUAAUCCGGUGAGUUUAGCUCACUAAACCUCGCUUAGAGGGUUAAUUAUGCUUUAGGUGUGCUUAGCUUAAGUUGAUUAAGCUUAGGUGGUUAAUUUAGUUAAUUUAAUUAUGAUUUAGAUUAAGAUGUUUGUUUAAUCUAAAGUAUGUUUAAUUAAAUGCUAAGAGGGUUUAUUUAAAGUUAAGCCUUGAUGUGACACAAAAUGAUUUUUGUUUUGAAUUAUUUAAGUGCUUCGAAAUUCUGGAAAAUAUAAUAUUAUAUUAUAAUCCGAAAUUAUUAAAAUAUUAUUAUUUAUUAAAAAAAAAUCAGAAAAAUUAUUUUUGACCCCGGUUGCUCAGAAUUUCGUGCCAAUCGCUGCUGUGCAUUUAGAAUUUGAUAUUUAUGAUUGGUUGUGGUGAAUUGAAUGUGAUUUCGAUAUAUAUGGAUUCUUUAUAAAUUUCUAAGUGUGGAAAUUGAUGGGCGAUUGGCCGUGAUAUGCCACCUAUUAGAGGUCGCACCCGAUGGGGCCGUUAUAUGCCACCUAUUAGAGGUCGCGUCCAAUGGGGCCGUUAUAUGCCACCUACUAGAGGUCGCGCCCGAUGGGGCCGUGAUAUGCCACCUAUUAGAGGUCGCGCCGGAUGGGGCCGUGAUAUGCCACCUAGUAGAGGUCGCGCCCAGUGGGGCCGUGAAUUGCCACCUGAUAAAGGUCGCGCCGAGUGGGGCCGUGAUGCCACUGAUUCUAAUGUUGGCCUAGUGGACCGUGAUUGAGAGCAAUGAUUGAUUUGCUAGAAUGACAUGUAAUCGGCCGAGUCGAUUGAUCGCUGAGACGAUCCAAGUGGUUGAAUUGUUUUGAUAAUGUGAUUGAGCCAUGGUUGUUUGGUUAUCAUAAUUGUACGUGGUUGAAUUAUAUAAAUUGUGCUAACUUGCAGAUGAAGGCUGAGGCGAGGUAAGUCUUCUAUGUGAUGUGGCUAGGCCACCCUUGGGCGUAUUUUCUUUCUAAUAGGGGUUUAGGGGGUUGAACUUGCUGAGACGUUGUCUCAGUGGUUAUUGAAUAACCAUUUCAGGUCCCCGGUGAACGGAGCGGCUAGAUAGCUUUGGUUGGCAUUGAGGAGUUGCAGAGGUGAAGUCAUAAGAUUGGAGAACGUGUCCGACUUGUAGGUUGUAGGACAAUUCUUUUUUAAGAGCCGGUCUUUUGUAGACUUUUGGCUGUAGACCUCUGUUUGUAAUUCUGUUGAUUUAUGGAAGUGUUAUGUUGUGAUUUUGCUUCCUGCUUUUCUAUCCCGUAUUUUAUUGUCAGGGGAUUUGUUUCGCUUCCGCAUGCGUAAAUAAAUGAAUGGGUCGGUGACAUAUCCUAGGAUGUCGCAUUUUUGAUCGACCGCAGGGGGAUGUGCGCGCGCUCGGGGUUCGAGGCGUGACAUAAAGCAUCUCUAAAUAAAGAAACUUCCCAUAAUGGAAUUUAACUUCAUUCCGCCUCUACGGAAGAUUGGCGCCGACGAAGCCUCGAUGCAUGCUUACUCCUUGAGUUCCAUGAGCCUACACUUUUGUCCUUUAGAAGAUGUGAUUGGCAAUUUUAGAUGAUCCCUUUAUUUUACUAAUUUAACAAAAGUGGAUAAACGAAUGAAUUGUUAUACCAGAAGUUCCUACUGGAACGAUUACAACCUUACCAUCUCAAAGUAUCAUUUAUGGACUAACUCGAGAAAGUGACUAAGUGAAGAGAUAAAAUUUUAUGCAGGUUCUUCUUGAAACUCUUUCUUCAAAACAUUUCGAAGCUAAGGUACAAAGAUUCAGCUCCAAGGGUGCAUUUGAAAAACUUCAAGUGCUUUUUAAAGAAUGAUGUUUCUUUACAUGAAAUUGAAUUUAAUUACCCAAAAAUGUGAGUUGCAUGAUUUACAAAAGUGCCAAUUGGGCUUGCAUGCAAAACUCAAAACUGAAAAUAUGAUUGUUACCAAGAAUAAAGACAAUGAUAUCAUACAAAACACGCUUGCAUAUAUGAGCGUAUAAAUCCAUUCUCAUCCUAAUUCUAAACUCGACUUCUUGGCAUGAUCAAGCAAGCGAAGUCAAGAAGUGUCAUCACGCAUGACCUGCGAAAAGAAGACAAUGUUAAUGUGUGAAUGAAAAAUUGACCUUUCAAUGAGGUCACCUCUUACAGCAAAAUCAUAAUGACAGUACAUGCCCCAUAGUCCCUAUUAUGGAAUUUUGGUAUUUCACCAAGAUUUUUCGUAAGAGAAAGAUCAUUUGGCGGCUAUCAAUCGAAUGUCCAUUCUAUUCCAAAAGUUUCAUAUGCAAAGGUGGCAUUGAUUUUUGAAAGAUUAAUUUGUGAUCUUACUCCUAGAAAAAUGAGGUAACUUUUAUUUUGAGGAAUCUGUACACAAAAUAUUAUCUGAAUUUCAAUCCCAGAAUGUAAGAAAAAAAGAAUUUGAUCGAAAAUAUGAUCUCAAUUUUUGUGCCCCAAAAUACAAUCUUAACUUGAAAGAAUUUCUAAAUAAAAAGUGGUUUUGAGCCCAUAAUUGAAAAUUUAGACAAAGCCAUAUGUUCAUUGCGGCUAGAUCAAAUAGGCUUGAAAUUUAUAUUCGAGGUUCAUUAUCAAGAGUGCUUGCGAAUCCUUUUUAUUAUAAGCCUACAUCAACAAGAGCAUUCCAUUAAUUUCCACAAAUUUUAAAAUGAAAAUUCAAUUAAAAAAAACAAAUAAAAAGAAGAAUGAUACUUACGGUAGGGGACAACUUUUCUCUUCUUUUUUUUUUUUAAUUACAUAGACAUACACAUGGGAUGUGGUUCAAUUUCUACUCUAUACGGCUCAAAAUGGAGCCAUGGGAUCACCGGACCGAACCACCAAGAUCGCGGCUAGGUCGUGUUACCCAUGACUCCAGCUUCGUCAAAGAACCGACUCGUGUCGCAUGGUUGCAAACCAGGGUGGGGACCUUUGACAUCAAGAAGGAAAUUUCAGGGUUGAGAUAGGCAACUCAUACUACAUGGUUGUAGUUGGAGUGGUAUCCACCUCAACACCAUCCUAAGAAAUCCUAUGCGGCUCAGGUCCGGUGGCAAGUAAUAUGUGCUACUAUAGUGUGAUGCAAAAAAUACAUACACAACAAUUUAUAAACAAGCAGUACUUCAAAAAUUCAAAACAUGAACAUUCAUUCACAACUUUACAUUUGCAAGACAAGGGGUUAACAAUCACUCCUCCCCUUUUAACUCCCAACUACAAAAACAUUUAACACCCAUGUUAGAGACGUACCCGAUAUCUUCACUGCCAAACAAAAAUUAUUUUUGAACAAGAUAAAUUUAGGCCUAAGUCUACUAAGGUUUAAAACUAUUCCCCAGUGGAGUCGCCAAGCUGUCACGACCUACCCCUCGAGGGGAAGGAACAGGCUUAAGAGUAUUGCCUAAAGAACGAGUCUAAGGCUCAUGAUUAGGCAUGGGCUCUCCCAAGCCCAUACCUCGUGUGACAUUAGAGUAACUUAAUAAUUUUGCAAAAAAGAGUCGUCACUAGCCUAUUAGGAUCGGCUAGAAACCAAAUGAGGCAUGGAAGUGUACCUCACUUCCUCGUAACUAGAGAAUCUUGUUCAUUUUAACAGAAAAUAUUUUUGCCGGGCAGUUUGGAUUGAUUGUAUACCUAUCCACUAACAUGUGAGGUGAUCAUGCGGGUACACAAUCAUUAAAGUAACAAUUCGCAAUCAAAAUCCUAAUUAUAAUAAACUUUAGCAUGUGCAAUUAAACAUAAUAACAUAUGCAAAUUAAACACGUGAUAUAAUCAAUGUGCAAGAAAAUAAAAGCCUAAUUACACUAAAAAUGCAAGACAUGGCAAUUCCCAACCAAACCCUACAUUUUUUAAUUUUCGAAAUUUUUAAUUUUUUAAAAAAAUAUUUUUUAUUAAAUUUUAAUUUUUAAUUUUAUUUUUUAAAAUAAUAAUAAUAAUUUUUUAAUUUACAAAAAAUUGGCGAACCAAGUCGGGUCUGGUCUGACCCAACCUAGGUUCAGCCCGGUUUGGGGAGGGCCAAUAAGCCACCGGGCCUAACCCAGCUUGUCAGGCCCCAAUAGGAUUGGGCCUAAACGACGGGCCCGAUCCGGCUUAAAAAUGAGGCCACUCGAAAAAAGAAACCUAAGUAAACUAAGCAUGGCCCAACACAAAAGGAACAUCUAAUAUUAAACCGGCCCAAAGGCCUUGCUUCGGCCUAUGCGGCCCACGCCCGACCCAUUAAAAAUCCGUAUGCGAUACAUUUAUAAUAAAUUUAUAAUAAACCUAAGUCCAAGAGGUAAACCUGUCCUAUGGCGUUCACCUCAAAAACCCACUAGCUCGAUAAUAAUGUCCUUUUCCUUUUCCUAAGGAAAUGAAGUAAAUUUCCACAUCCAUAUCUCAAAGGACGAUAGAAGAUCUAACUACACCCUUUAGUAAACACCGAAAUGUGGCCGGACCACCAAAGAAUAUCCUGGUCUCGCUCUCUCGAACCCAUCACUCCGCCGACCUUACUAACUAAGCAAGGUGCGAGCUAAAACUCGAGGCAGAUCUCGUCCGAACAAAGAUAGUUCACCAAAAGGCGCGCCCUCGAUCGCCUUGCAUCGCAAGCGAGGAAUCUAAGUCGGGGCUUAGUUUAACGAGCAGAAACGCUCUCUCGAGUGCAGAUUUCACACUGCUCGCCACCAUAUAAUAAUACUUAACAACCGUUGUUCUUCCAAAAAGCGUGGUCGGUGGGGGAGGAGGCCCAGUGAGGUGAGGAGAACAUGCCGUGACCGGAUCCUGAAAUGUCUCCGGAGUUGACGGUCGGAUCUUCUUGUCCUGCCCCCCCCCCCCCCCCCCUCCGACCUUCGAUUAUCGUCGUGCAUCUCUCUGACACCACCGCGCCACCCCUGCUUCCUCCUUUAUAAUAAGCAGGGAAAGAAAUUUAGUUAGUAAUGUAGUUUGACUCUAAUUUUUAAAUGAGUUACUAUCAUUAAAAAAAUCACAAAAUAAUACACUUUAUUCAUUAAUUUUCAUUAAAUUUUACUGUCAAAUUGUUGAAUUAAAUAACAUGUGACAGUUAAUGGGUGUAUCACUUUUAAAGUUUUACCUUCCGUUGUGAUUUAACAAGGAAUAAUAAAUUUAUUAUAAAUGUAUCACAUACGGAUUUUUAAUGAUCAAAAAAUUAAUUUGAAGUAAAUUACACGAACAAGGUCCUUUCGAGUAGACUAAGUAAAUUGAACAUUUCAUAAAAAAAUGCAAGAUUCUAACCUGUUGUCCCUCAUUCUCGCUCAAAGCUUUUGGUAAAAGGCUGGUAAGAGAGAGCAAGACGAUGAAAUUAGGUUAUAGCUUUUGCAAUUCAUCUAAAGAUUUCAUUGCGCAAUAUCAUGAAACAUGAUGCUUCAAAUUGAGACUUCUAACUCUUCGAUGUCGUGCCAUUCUAAGAAUGCCCGACCUAGAUAAAGUUGAGUAAAGAGACCGGGCAAUUUCGAUAGAGCGACCAACCUUGCAUUGUUUGUAAUCAGUACUUUUUCAGGUUAAAGUUAUUCUAAAUUGGAUUUCGUUGAACAAGCACUUAAUAUUUUCUAUAAUACAUAAAACCCCAUGUCCACAAAUUUCGAACAUCAAAAAUCAACGAAAGAAGUACACUACCAAUGCCAUAACUGGUAUACGACGCUCACUUUGGUGCUAAAAGUUUCCGUCAAAUCACUUAAGUGCCAAAUCGGAGAAAAAACGAUCACUUUGGUGCCACCAGCAACAGAUUUUGGCCAAAAUGAUUACGUGGCUUUUAUAUUUAAAAAAAAUCGAGAAGCCUUUUAAACGACAUCGUAUUCCGUCUUCCUUAAGAAACGACAUCGUUUUGCCGUCCUACGUGAAUGGCCUCACAAAACGACGCCGCACAACUCAUUUGGGGAAUUUUUUUUUUUUAUUCGAGGAUUGAAAUUAGGGUUUUUUUGGUCCGCCGUUGCUCAGCCACCAUCGCUCGGCUACCGUCCCUCAUCCACCAUCGCUUGGCCACCAUCCCUCGGCCACCGUCGCUCAGCCACCGUCCCUUGACCUCCAUCGUAGUUGCUUGCCACAGCAAGACAAAAGAAAAAAAAAACAAACAAACAGAAAAUCCCGAGGGAGAGGGAGGUGUCGACGGCGAGGGCGGAGGAGGGGAUGGCGGGGCCACGGCCGCCACCAUCGUCGCAGCUAGCUUCGCUGACGACCUCCAUGGCAUUCCAGAUCUUCGCGGCUACCAUUGGCCGGAUCACUCAUGCUUCUGGAGAUUCUUCAAGCUCACGCUUCCUCUGCGCCCGGCGAUAUUCCUUAGGAAAAGGCAAUGGUGGGGUUAAGAUUCGAGGAUUUGAAAGGUCGACAAGGUGAUUGAAAAUGGGGGAAAACUACUGGGGGAGGGCUGAGGCGAGUGCGUGGUUUCUUUUCUAGAAUACUACUAGUGUUAUGCUGGUGCACUACUGGUAUUGCCGGUGCUGUUCUUCGACGUUGCUAGUGUUGCUGGUGCUGUUCUUCGAAGAAGAAGACGACGCCUUCUCUCUCUUAAUUUGGGGAUUUAGAGUUUUGAAUUUGGAGGAAAGACACCACUGCGUCGUUUUGUUGUUUAAAUGCUGACUAUACUCUCCAAUGAGCCACAUCAGCUUAAAAAAUUAAUAAAAAGGUGCAACGUCAGAUUUCCAGCCAACCAGAUUAAAGUUGGCACCAAAGUGAGCAUUUUUGAAACUUUUUGGCACUUAAGUGAUCCAACAGAAACUUUUGGUACCAAAGUGAGUGUCGUACACAAAUUAUGGCACUGAUAGUGUACUUCUCCUAAAAAUCAACAUAUUCAAAAGACCCUUAACAAAUACUUUUAAAUGCAAAAUAAUUCAAUAUGUUCCUUUCUAAAAUUAUGAACACGCUCAUCAAGGCGGUGGUUAAUGAAGAUGAUUAUGGGUUGGUUUUAACUGUAAAAAAUUAUUCACAUGAAUAACUAAUCAAUCAUGAAAACCGGAUUCAUAUAUAAUUGUAAAACACUGAGAUCAAUAAAUACAACAGAAUUAAAGCAUACAUGUUUGAGCCAUUGCUUCACUUGAAGAAAAAUAUAUCAAUCUGAUAAUUAGUGAUCUAUCGGAAUGCUAGAUCUUUCUCUCUAUGAUCUAUUUCGAUAUAGCAGCUUUCAAUGGAAUUAAAGCAACUGAUAGGUAUAACCUACCCUUUUAUAGGCUAGAGAGGGGACCUAGCAAACCCUAAUCAACAUCAUGUCAACUGGGCCCUUCUAUUACAGGCUUCAAUUAAACACAAUUGCCUACACUUUGCUGCUCAACCAAGCCCAUUAUCAAUAGAUGCCAAUACCCAAUUUAAUCAAAUCACUGUAGGGUUCAAUAAAUAUUAGAAUAUCCAUUAACCCGAUUAUUUAAAAUAGAAAACUAAUUAAUUAAUAUAAGCCCAUAUUAUAGAAAAUUUCCAACAUUCUCCCACUUUGGCUACAUUAAUUAACUUAUUUUAUUUUGAAAAAUAUUUUAUAUUGAAAACGACACUAUCGGGUUAAUAACUGAAAAUUUUUGUUUUACGUGGCCACAAUUUAAAAAAAAUAAUAUUCCAAUAAUGGCAUCUCAAAACCAAUUCAAUCCUACAUAACCUCAGUAUAAGACUAUGGAGAUCAAUGUGUUAAGAAAAUACCACAACACAAGAUCUUUUAUAAUCACAUAUAAUAAGUAUUGUAUUUUCAUGGAUCAUGGGCCUACUAGUAUAGUAAGAAAUGGUGCCAACAUGUGAUCAAAAUAUACAUUAUUUCUUAUCGGUCUUCAAUGCAAUUUCUCAACGACAUGAAACUGCAUUAACGCAAUUUCUAAACAAUAUGAAAUUGCUCAACUAUGUCACAAUUCAACAUGAGAUCUCAUAAUCAGUGACAUCCAGUCAUCUUUAAACUAAAAUUUGUUUAAAGAUAUUGUUUUAUACUUCCAUUUUUCAAUCAAUAGGAGAAAGGAUAACAAUAGAACCAAUAACAACAAUCAUUAAAAAUAAAUGCUUUAAUAGACAUCAUAAAAGCAUUAUCAAUCCACAUAUAACUAUAAUAUCCACAAAUACAAAUUAUAUAACUCUCACUAACAAAAAAAAAAUCAAAAGAAUCUAAGACACCCAUAUUCUUUACAUGUUCAUUAAAAAAAAUGGGUCGUAAGUCUUUUUGUUAGAGGAUCAACUAAUAUGGACUCAGUUCUAAUAUUCUCAAUCACAAUAUCUCCCUUUUUUACCAAGUCCUUAACAAUAUAAUAUUUGAUCCAAUUAACAUUUCAACCGUGGCAUUGUUGUUAUUUAUAGCAAAAGUAAUUGUUUGUCACACAUAAUGCAAUAAGAUCAAUUAUGGGCAAUAAGUAACUCAACAAAAAUAAUUAGUACAUCAUAAACUUCCCUUUGGGCAGAGUGUAUAAUACACCAUUAUUUUUCCCAGCAUGAAAUUUAUAAAGCAACAACAAGGAGAAUUACAUAUAAUUGUCAAGGAUCCAUUCCCUUUGGGCAGACAAAUCCUUUAAAUCAUGCAUCUCCAUAAUAUCAACAUAGAGAUGAUAAAGGAGAAUUACAUAUGAUCUUCAAGGAUCAAUCCCCUUUGGGCAGAAAAAUCCUUUAAAUUAUAUAUCUCAAUUAUCUCAACAUAGAGGGGAAUUACACAUAACUCUAAAAAAUUUAUCCCAUUUAGGCAGAUAAACCUUUUAAGUCACACAUCCCUAUCAUUCAUCUCUAAUAUAUCAAUAUGGAGGGGAAUUACAUAUUACUUUCAAAAAUUAACCCCUUUGGGAAAAUAAAUAUUUUUUAGUCGUACAUCCCCAUCUUUUAAUUUUGGAAUUUAUCUUCAUGCAAUUUUCGAAUUAAUAUAUACAAUAACCCCCUUUGGGCAAGCAUUUGUAUAUACUAAUUUUUAUCAAUAAGAAACUUCAACAAUUUACAAACUUUAACAAUUUGUAAAUAAUGUUCCAUUUAAUCAAUGCCCAAAAAUUCAUCGAACAAUAUGAAGCACUCUAUGACAUGUGCUUCCCAAGAUCAUAUUGCAUUUAUCAAGCAACAAUUUUUGCCACAAUUUUUUUUUCUUUUAAAUAGGGGUCAGAAAAACGGUUUUAGUCCAAAUCACUAAAUUAACCCAACAAAAGAAAGGAUAGGUGCAUCUAGCACUUCAAUCAGCAUGUUUCGUAUUUAAGUUUAAAUUACUCGUGCACCAAAUACCAAAUAAAGACACUGAGGCAGGAACUACAAUCUUUACAAGAAAAAGAAUGGCACCUAAGCUGCGUAUUCAACCUCAACUAAAACAGAAUGAAGAACACUCUAAGCAAGCACUGUAAGGAAAAUAACCCACCAUUAUGUCACAUUUAGCCAAUAGAUUCUCAUGUUUAAAUUAAUAAAUAAAAGUCCCACUAGCAAUCUUAAGCACUCAUGUCAAAUCCCAAUACAUAUAGGCAAGAGACCAAGACAAAAUGGCAAAUAGAAAAGUGAACGCUGAUUCUGCAGCAAGAUUUGCAAUAUGUUAUGAAAGAAAGCAUCACUUCCGCAAUUUUUUUUUUAUUUAUUCUAAAUUCAAUCUAUGAUAAUGAGUUACAAUAUCUACUGUCACAAUGUCAAUUUAUGCAAGAGAGUGUGAAUAAAGUAAGAUCCCGCGCAUAGCACAAGCAAUACUACUUGUUACGAGCAAAAAUCAAGAUUGAUAUAGAAGAAGAUCUCUAAUCCAAUUGCCCUCUUAAACUUACUUUCCCUUUUCUUCUAUGCUGUGAUCGUUCACAUAAAAUACUAUUACAGACCAUUGCUUAUAGAGACAUAAUCGAAUGAGAAGUUCACCAUCCAUCAAAGAAAGCCAAGUUCAUCAAUCCAUAAGCAGUACCCACGAUUACCAUCAAUGGAAUUCGUCUAAAUUUCAUUGAAAAAAAAACUGAUCUUGAAUCCUCCACAAACGAGGAUAUGAAAGCACACAUAAAUCAGUACACUAGCCGCUUGAUUCCAACAUAUGUGAAUCAUUAAACGCGAACCUACACGAGAAACCGAAGACGUUCAAGCCACUCAGCCCUCGAACCCGAAUUGUUCACACGCCCUCCAGUCAAAGCAAAAGCUACUGCACAAUGAGGCUCAAUCCCAUGAAUCUAGCCCAAAUCACACCAACACCAUCUAUGUUUCGCAAAUCUAGUCCAGCAUUAGCAGAAGAAUCUAAAAGCACCAAACAAAAUAGAUGUGGACACUUGACAAUAAGAUAAAAGUGCGGAUGCCAUGGAAUAUUAGGAUUCAAAACCUUUUAAGUCUCCUUCAAAGAGCAUUGGCCAAAGAGAGUGUACACGUAAAAGACUUUCGCACAUCAACUGCGAUUUCUAGCGACUGCCACCGCACACAUAUCGCAUAAUGCCUUGGCACCCUAAGAUCUUACAUGCAUAGUCGGUAUGCCAUACUCCCCAAUCUCUACAUUACAGCACACAGUAUUUGAAGAAGGAUAGAUUGGAAUUGCUUCCAAGUGGGCGCAUCCAUACACCCUAGACAACUCUAACAACUAUCUCGUAUUUCCCUCCUUUCAAGCAGUUUAGGAUGCUCAAAUUGUUCCAUUUAGUUUCAAAUGCUCAUUAUAUUCAAGAUAGCCAAACGGUCUUUCAAGAUUUAAUUUGAUAGCAAUUCCUCCUACUACGAUCCAAGUGCCUCACAGAGGAAAGUUUUCUUGUGUAUGGAAGCUUUCUAUCAAAGACAGCAGCAACACUUUCUCGUCCUGGAAACACCAAUAUCACUACCGUUCCCCGAUCCUCCCGAAAUUUGACAUCUUUCUAACUCUAACAUUCCACAUUUUCGAGAACCAUUCAUCAAUAUUAUUAUGCUGGAAUACCCAUAAGGUUUCCAGCUCAACCAUUUAACCCGUCCCCCUUAAAAACUCGAUUGGUUCAUUCUCAUCCAAGAAAUUGUCCACGUGAUCGAUAUUUCUAAUGAUAAAAUGGACAUCGGUAAACUUUCUAUGAUUUACGAGCAAAAGAAAGCACGAUAAUGGAGAACCCAGCUAAUUAAAGCUCAAGAAACUGCGAUAAGAAAGUGAUGCCACAUUGCAUAGAAAGACAAAACGAGUGCUUACGAACAGCUUUCACUUUCAGGAGUAAAAUCAGCCACAAAGCUUACGAAUUGCUACUAUAAAUAUCCAGCCAAUUAUUCAAUUAUGCGCUUGCGUAUCGAUGCCCCGCACAAUCACACAAUCAUGUAGGAGAGUUGGUUGCCCAUACCGAAGACAGACUCAAAGCAAAACUAUCGUCGCUUUUCCAAAAGAGAAAAUCCAUCCUAAGCACCCACCAAAAAAAAAAACGAAAACUUGAAAUCAAGCGCAGUAAGCACAGAUCGCCAAAUUCCUCCUCGAUCUAGCUCUUUGUCCGAUCCUUUUUUUUUUUUUGUUGUUGGGGUUGAUAGGAUAUCGAGGGCUUUUCUUAGGGCCGCGAUUAAUCAUGGGGUUUUUUAGGGGAAUUAUCUGGAAACCUAAGCUGACCACGGUUCCCAUCUCGAUUGACACAAUCUGCCCAGAGGGACGACAGGGACGACGGGGAAACAAUCCACCGCGAACUAUAGAAUACACACGUGAGAGCAAGCGAAAGAAACACAGACUAGCAUUCGAAUCGUCAUCUGCACAACGAAAACGGUCAGCCCAACGCACGCAACCCUAAUUCGCUCCGACGGAUCGUGGAACAUAGCAAGCACGCAGAGAGAUCACAUGAACAACUAAUUAAUCAAGAGCAAUCUGAAUCGACUAUAUUCAAGUUCAAGAAAUUCAGAUCUAACACUCCCAUGACUACAAUCUAGAUUUCCACAAAUUUAAGCCCAAAAAAAACUUACCUUAAUGCAAUAAUUUACCACGAACAUCAAUCAAUUGCAAGUAAUUUGAAAAUUCUAGAACUUUUUCAUGUAUAAACUCUAGAAUUUCAAAUUUAAAAUUCUCUCUCAAUUCUCAACAAAAUUUUGCAAAUUAUAUAUGGUUGGAAAGAUCUUGACGUGUAGAACAAAAACCCUAUGGUUUCAGGAUCAAUCGAGAAAAAAAUUCACAUAAAAAAGUAAUGCCCAUGUUCGGCUCAAAGAGGAAGAUUUUGAAUCUUACCAUGAAAAAAAGAAUUGGGUUCAACAAUCAUAUAUAACUACGCUCUGAUACCACAUGUAGAAAAUUAUUCACAUAAAUAACUAAUCAAUCAUGAAAACCGGAUCCAUAUAUGAUUGUAAAACACCGACUGUUUGAGUUAUUACUUCACUUGAAGAAAAAUAGAUCAAUCUGAUAAUUAGUGAUCUAUCGGAAUGCUAGAUCUUCCUCUCUAUGAUUUAUUUCGAUAUAGCAGUUUUCAAUGGGAUUAAAGCAACUGAUAAGUGUGGCCAUCCUUCCAACAUGGAAGGGGGAGGUGAGGGGUUCAAAUCCCCACCUUCUCAAUAGGGAUGGGGUGGGGACGCGUGAGUUUCAAAAGUGAGUUUCAACUCCCACGCCCUGCAAGAGGUAGGGCAAAAGUUUGAGAGUAAGUGUAGAGUAGGAAUAGAAUAAGACUAACCAAAAAAAAAAAAAGUAACUGAUAGGUUUAUAUGUUAUAGAAGGGACCUAGCAAACCCUAAUUAACAUUCUGUCAACUGGGUUCUUCCUAUUAUGGGCUUCAAUUAAAUACAAUUGCCUACACUUUGCUACUCAACUAGGCCCAUUAUCAAUAGAUGUCAAUACCCAAUUUAAUCAAAUCACUGUAGGGUUCAAUAAAUAUUGAAAUAUCCAUUAAUCCGAUUAUUUAAAAUAAAAAAUUAAUUAAUUAAUGUAAGUUCAUAUUAUAGAAAAUUUCCAACAUUAAGACAAUUCAUCAAACUUCCGGCUAGAGUUAUGGAGAUGUUGAGCUUAAAAGCAGUUUUUGUCGUUUUGCGGGCAAAGCGGGAGAAGCGUACGGUUCAGAUGAGCAGGUCAGCCCCGGUCGACUUUUCAUGCGGAUACGAUGGAGCGGUCAAUUCCCUGUCGUUUCCCAAACGCGGGACAGGAGCUCUUUCCCAUGGAUGUUCAAUGAAUUGGGUACAACUUGAGCAUCGUCCUGGAAAAAUCGACCCAAAAUCAAUUUGAUUAGCUGGAAGUUUUCUUCAGUUAGUGCGAUGUGACUUAUUUCUUUAUAAUGUUGGUUUAAAUUCGGAAGAAAUUUGGAACCACGUGAUUCUAAGCAACGUUGAAUGAGUCCUUUCAUCGACUUUUGUCGGCCAAGAGUGUUUAGUAAGAAACGUUUAUUUGAUGCUCGCCGAAAUCCCGAUGAAUUUACUAUCUUAAUGAGUUGGUUGUGUUGUCUCUUCUUUUUCAUUUAAUUAGUAGUAGUUGUUGCUUCUUUUUCAUUUAAUUAGUAGUAGUUGUUGCCAAUCCCGAUGAAUUUACUAUCUUAAUGAGUUGGUUGUGUUGUCUCUUCUUUUUCAUUUAAUUAGUAGUAGUUGUUGCCCUUAGAUUAUCAAUAAAAUUUCACAACAGCAAAAGGAUGAUGUAUCGAACGUACAUAACAUCACCUAUCGUGCAUCAUGACUAAGCCAAACAUGUCUAGUUGCUAUCUAAUUAAAGAGAAUGUGUAUUAGUCUUAUGGUCUCUAAACAAGUUGUUUGCAUCAUUUUCAUUGGUUUGUUUAAAUAUUUAAAUUGUGGUUACAUAUGGUUUACACUUUCCAGAUGAAAUGGAAAAUCCAUGAGUUUUAUGCUUAUCAAUACAGGUGGUUUUACAUUUUAAUCUCUCCAUCCUUUUAUUAGCUAUAUUCUAAUAAAAAGUCAAAGAAUUGGUUGGGUAGUCAAGGCCCAACCGUGGUGGGCCGGGCAGGUGGGCCGCGCGUGGGGGAAGGAAAAGGAAGGGGGUAGGCUGGGCCAAGGCCCGAUCCAGCCCGAUUUCCGACCCUUAAGUUUUUUUUUUUUUUUUUUGCGACUAAUUCUGAACUUUUAAUGCUAUUAAGUCUUUAAGUAAAAUUGCGAAAUUUAGGUGUCAACAAGUACAAAUUUUGAAAUUAGAAAUUAUUAGGUUUAUCAGCAUAAGAAAAAAAAAUCAUAUCAAUGAAAAGUCACUUGAGAAAAAAAAACAAUUAAAAUUUCAUACUAUUGUGAGACGAAAAGAGUCCAGCCUCAUGAUUCGAGUACAUGUAACUCUCUAUAGGGUAUCCUUAACUCUCAAAACAUUCAAAUAUAUCUCAAUAUGUUUCAACCUAUCUAAUCACAAACUAUUCGCUCCAAUCUAAUAGCAUUAAAAGAGUCCAGCCUCAUGAUUCGAGUACACGUAACUCUCUAUAGGGUAUCAAAAUGUAAAUCCAUGAAUUUUACGCUUAUCAAUACAGGUGGUUUUACAUUUUGAUCUCUCCAUCCUUUUAUUUGCUAUAUUAUAAUACAGGUGGUUUUACAUUUUGAUCUCUCCAUCCGUUUAUAGCAAAUAAACCUAAUAAUUUCUAAUUUCAAAACUUGUACUUGUUGACACCUAAAUUUCGUAACUUUACUUAAGAAUUCAUAGCAUUAAAAGUUCGGAAUUAGUCGCCAAAAAAAAAUUUAUUGAUUUUCAAUCAAGCACUUGACUACCCAACCAAUUCUUUGAGGAUUCAGAGUGUCUAAUAAAUUUAUUGUUCCUUUUUUGUUCAUUAUUUCCUCAUCCUUUCACUAGCCUCCCAAUAAAAUAAAAAUAGUAGUCUUCAUAAGUGUCAUCGUUCCCUAGUAUCUCCAAGUAAUUGUCCAAUUCUAUCCUUUGAAAAUGGAGCAAUAGUGCACGAGAAAGUAGUUAUUUUAUAAAGCCGUCACUUCAAUAGAAAUUUCGAAAUAAAAUAGACUGUUGUAAUGCUUUCUUAUUUUUGCGAUGAUGUUUCACCUUGUCAUUUAUUCAUAUCAUCCACGACCCAAAUGUUAUUUUCUUCUUUUGCCAUAACCAUUUAUGAUUACGCAAUCCCAUUUUGACAAACAAAUUUUAUAAGCAAAACUGUCUUAAGUUAUCGUAAAGAUAAUGACAAACAGAUUUUAUUAAUAUAAUAGUCUUAGGAUAUCGUAAAAAUAAUAACUUAUCAUGAGUGAUCAAUUAUUGAAAGGGUGGGUGUCACGAUAAGUUUUAAUUCUUUUUUUAUUUAAUUUUUUGUGACUAUAGUGGAUGGUGACUCAUCUUGUCCCACUCACAUCGCUUCUUCGUCCUUCCUUCUUCCCUUUCCUUAUUGCGACGUCCUCAUGCAACCCGAUCCAGAACCACGCUCCAACCAGAACUGGGAGACUACAGCCAUGGGCGUCACCGACACCACGCAACAAGCCUUCGACCGAGCCCAAGAGCUCAAGCAGUUCGAAGAAUCCAAGCUCGGCGUCAAAGGUCUCGUCGACUCCGGCCUCACCUCCCUCCCACCCCUCUUCGUCCACCCGCACGAGACUCUCUCCACCCUCAAGCCCGCCCGCCCCAAGCCCGACUCCAUCCCCACCAUCGACCUCUCCUGCUGCGACUCCUUCCGGCGGCCCUCUGUCGUCGCAGAAGUG
rnacentral:lncRNA from 1 species